rnacentral:rRNA from 1 species
GUGGGGAAUCUUCCGCAAUGGACGAAAGUCUGACGGAGCAACGUCGCGUGAGUGAUGAAGGUCUUCGGAUUGUAAAGCUCUGUUAAUCGGGACGAAAGAGCCUAGUGUGAAUAAUGCUAGGAAGUGACGGUACCGGAAUAGAAAGCCACGGCUAACUACGUGCCAGCAGCCGCGGUAAUACGUAGGUGGCAAGCGUUGUCCGGAAUUAUUGGGCGUAAAGCGCGCGCAGGCGGAUCUGCCAGUCUGUCUUAAAAGUGCGGGGCUUAACCCCGUGAUGGGAUGGAAACUACAGAUCUAGAGUAUCGGAGAGGAAAGUGGAAUUCCUAGUGUAGCGGUGAAAUGCGUAGAUAUUAGGAAGAACACCAGUGGCGAAGGCGACUUUCUGGACGAAAACUGACGCUGAGGCGCGAAAGCCAGGGGAGCGAACGGGAUUAGAUACCCGGGUAGUCC